rnacentral:rRNA from 1 species
UACAGAGGGGGCAAGCGUUGUUCGGAAUUACUGGGCGUAAAGGGCGUGCAGGCGGUCUGUUAAGUGCAGGGUGAAAGCUCCCGGCUCAACUGGGAGAGGUCCUUGCAUACUGGCGGACUUGAGGGGGGUAGAGGAAAGUGGAAUUCCCGGUGUAGUGGUGAUAUGCGUAGAUAUCGGGAGGAACACCUGUGGCGAAGGCGGCUUUCUGGGCCCUACCUGACGCUGAGACGCGAAAGCGUGGGGAGCGAACCGG